UAUUGCAUUAAAACAGUGUUUUCAUUGCGAGAUCUUCUCCGCUGUCAGAAUCCCCAAUCGCCGUCGUAUUGAGGCGUCUGCUCGCUGCUACUCAACUCUCUCUAGCUCUCGCCCUUUUGCGCUCGUCGAUUUGGCAACAAUAGAAGUAGAAACAGAAAAUUCACAGAAAAGCAAUCUGCUUUCUAGCAGCAAAAACUUAAAAGCGGAAAAGCAGUUUUGUUUUGGUCCAUGAUUCUGUGGUAUUUGUUUUAUUGAAGCUGCUCCAUUCACUUCUGCUUCUUCUUCGCCGUCAUACAUAGAGAACGGGUUUGUGUUUCGUGAGUGUUGAAGAAAUUUUAUGACCAGAAGUUCUAGGAGGAAUUAACUUGAUGCUCUAUGAUUACUGAGUAGUUAUUUAUCUGAACAUGGAUAAAGUAUCACCAGACUGUCCAUACCCAGGAUGCUUCUUCUGUGUCAUGAAGGAAGGCAAUCCAAGUAAACGCAGGGCAAGUAUAUUGAAAUUCUUUAGAGAACUUCCUUCACAGGAUGAUGAUGGUCAAGUCCUCCCUAUCAGUGGCCUCUGGAAUACUGCUAUGGCACAUCCCAAUGACCCUGAGUUUAUUGAGUUGGGCAUAUUUGAAUGCAUGGCUGCACUAAUUUGGAAGGGUCUAAAGAAUCGGCGCUGGCUCUCUCAUGACCAAAACAUAUAUAUUCCUUAUUAUGCAGCACAUAUUAUUGGAUCCUACACCAUGAACAUGGAAGAAUUUGCAGAAAGUGCCGUUCAUGCUGGAGUAAUCCCUCCCUUAGUUGAACUUUUGAGGGGGAGGUUAACUUGGGUUGAACAGAGAGUCGCUGUGCGAGCUCUGGGACACCUGGCUACAUAUGCCAGCACUUUUCCUGCAUUGGCUAGUCAUGGUGAAAUACUUGAGCUUUCCAUUCAGCUUGCAAUGAGUUCGUUAGAAAUUGUUUAUUCCCAUUUUUACCAGUAUGUUGACAGAAGGCUGAGUUAUCACUGUGAUCUGCUAACACGUGGCAUGGGUGGCGUUGAAAUGGAGUCCAGGAAGGCAGAGGAAUGGGCUAGUCAGUUGCAGUGCUGGUCCCUUCAGCUUAUUAAUUGCUUUGCUUUCAAACCCGAGUUUCUUUCUAUUAUAUGCAAGCCCGAAUUUUUAAUAAAACUACCGGGCAUGUGGGGUGGACUUGUUAAUGAAAAUUCACCAGCUGGUAUUGGUUUAUUGCGGACAAUUUGUCAUCAUAAGCUUGGCAGAGGGCCAGUCGCUAGCUGUCCUGGUAUCAUUGAAGCAUUGUGUAAUAUUGCCCGCUCGUCAGAUGAUUGGCAGUAUAUGGCUAUAGACUGUCUUCUGUGGUUGCUCCAGGAUCCUAGCACUUGUCAUAAGGUGAUUGACAAGGCUGUAAGUGCACUGGUAGACCUCUCGGAGAUCUCAACUCUGGGAGAUCACAAAAAGCUUGGGGAUUCCAUCGUUAAUGUUCUUCAGGAAUGUAUCCAAUCACAAGGGACGGGGCGGAACGCUUUGAGUAAUCGCACAAAGGAACAGAUUGAGGAACUAUUAAAUUCAAGACAGAGAUUGAAGUGGGAAAAGAGUAUGCCAAAGGAGGACCUCCAUAUCAAGCAGGCAGCAGCACUGGUGGUCAAGCUUGAAGGAAAUUCCCUGUUCUCGUCUGGAAACAUAUCUGGAGCUGCAUCAAAGUACUCUGAAGCAUUAGCACUGUGUCCGAUGAGAUCAAAAAAAGAGAGAGUUGUACUGUACAGUAAUCGAGCUCAGUGUCAUCUUCUGUUGCAACAACCAUUGACUGCCAUUAGUGAUGCUACACGUGCCCUUUGUCUUCACAACCCUCUUAACCGUCAUGCCAAAAGCCUUUGGAGAAGAGCACAGGCAUAUGACAUGCUAGGGUUAGCUAAAGAGAGUUUGUUAGAUGCCAUUCUGUUCAUAAAUGAGUGCUCUCAAUCAAGUGAUCCUGAUCUGUCCUUGAGGCAAAAUAAGGUUCCUGACUAUGCUGAAAGAUUAGUCAAGAAGCAGAUGCGUGCUGCCUGGUUAUUUAGAGAAGCAGCAAUUAAACAUGGGGGUGUUCAUUGUGAAGGUGAUGCAGGGGACAUAUAUGGCCAUGAGACUGAUGAUUCAGAAUGGGAGACAGCAAGUGAAAGUGAUAUUGGGAAUGAUGGACGGGAUGAGAUGGGGGACGAUGAUUGUGAAUGGAAAAAUGAAGAUGACAGGAAAGACAAGUAUGAUAAACCUUCAAUGAAAGCAGAUGAAAGGUAGAAACAUGGAUGGAUAUGAGAACACAGGAUCGCAUAAGGUGAUUUAGGUUUUUUGUGAUCAGAAUGAUAUGAAGCAUGGAUACAAUGUGCAGCUUGCUGAAGAUGAACCAUGAGGUUUGGGUAAUAUGGACCAUUUGUUAAGAUGUAAAGACAGAGCAGAAACGUGAUUGAAGCAGCCUUAAGUUAUGUGAUUGCUUAACACCUCUAGUUUCUUUGAGUUUACAGCAGGAAAUGCAUGUCAAUGGGCAGGUUGGAAGAAAAACAUGUCCAUGGUCAAAGUGUUUAAGACUAAAAUUCGUUUUAUAUGUUUCUCUUUUAGUUCCCCUUUUCUUUGGUGUUCAACUGUAACAAUAGAAAAAAAGAAAAAGAAAAAAAAGAAGAAGAUGAAGAUACCGAGUCUAGAUUGUAAAAACCUUUUUGGAGUGAUUUUAGAGGCUUGUGUAUAUAAGACCCAUAGGGGGUCUGUUUUUGUGCUCUGAACUUUAUUUAUACAUUGAAAUGAUAAUUAUGAUUUUGUUUCGCAAUCUUUGUUUCUGCUUCCGCUGCCUUCGGUUUAUGGCACUGAAUACUGUGAUGGCUCUUUUUGGAGCUGCUGCUUGGUUUUACUGCCUAUGGCCCUGUAUUAGAAAGCUCAAGUGGAUAAAGAGAUUGGAUAUGGCUUUCUACAGAAGUUAGUGUUUCCAAAUUUGUUUCCAUUGACCACAGUAUGUAACUCUCUUUAUUUGUAGAAUUCUGAGGUAUCUGGAUUAUUUAUUUUCUUAUUCUGUUCAUGUAAAA